AGCUCCAAUAGCGUAUAUUAAAGUUGUUGCGGUUAAAAAGCUCGUAGUUGGAUCUCGGCAGCCAGGGGGCGGUUCGCUCCAAAGCGUGACUGCCCCAUUUGGCUGUGUGAUUGGCGGAGGUUUCGGGGUGCUCUUCGUUGAGUGUCCCGGUGCGCCGUCAGGUUUACUUUGAAAAAAUUAGAGUGCUCAAAGCAGGCUUUUCAGGCUUGGAUAUUCGUGCAUGGAAUAAUGGAAUAGGAACUCGUUCCUAUUUUGUUGGUUUUCGGGAAUCGAGUUAAUGAUUAAUAGGGACAAUUGGGGGCAUUAGUAUUCAAACGACAGAGGUGAAAUUCUUGGACCGUUUGAAGACUAACUACUGCGAAAGCAUUUGCCAAGAGUGUUUUCAUUAAUCAAGAACGAA
rnacentral:rRNA from 1 species